rnacentral:rRNA from 1 species
ACGGAGGGUGCAAGCGUUAUCCGGAUUCACUGGGUUUAAAGGGUGCGUAGGUGGGCAGGUAAGUCAGUGGUGAAAUCUCCGAGCUUAACUCGGAAACUGCCGUUGAUACUAUUUGUCUUGAAUGUUGUGGAGGUAAGCGGAAUAUGUCAUGUAGCGGUGAAAUGCUUAGAUAUGACAUAGAACACCAAUUGCGAAGGCAGCUUACUACGGGUGUAUUGACACUGAGGCACGAAAGCGUGGGGAUCAAACAGGA